rnacentral:lncRNA from 1 species
CAGUGACAUAAACUUAUUUUUAUUCUAUUGAGGUAACUAUGAUGAGCUUUUACAGUCUAUGAACAGCAGUACAAACCAGAUGACAAGCCCCUGUUUUAAAACUAGAUUAAUCUCACAAUAACUGAAAGUGACCAAAAAUGAAGAUAAAUACUUUUAAGGGGGCUCGCGGGUCUAAAUUGAAAUUUUUAUUUCAUAUAGGACUUCGCUAUAUUUUUCUAUAAAUGAACUUUAUCUUAUACUUAAAAGAAAAAUGAAAUAAAAAAAUGGGGUCACCGUUCAUUUACGGUCACAAUCUGUCAUCGAAAGAAGCAUACAUUUUUGUUAAUGUCCUUUUUUUCUGUUGAACUAAUAGGAGAAACAGAAGUAAUAUCGAAAUAAAAAAAGAACUAAAUUACAGAAAUCGCUUAAAUUUUACAAUUAUUUAGUUUAUGUACAACUUAUUCGAAAACAACAAUAAAAAAUAUAGGUCACCGA